GCCCGGUUAGCUCAAUCGGUAGAGCGUGAGACUCUUAAUCUCAAGGUUGCGGGUAAGUUCAUACGUCCACAUGCAAACCAUCAGAUCAUGUGCUAAUCACGAUCACAGGUUCGACCCCCGCAUCGGGCU